GCCAGUUGCACUACCAAAAACUUGCCAUAAUAAAGUGGGGUCUUCUUCUCUGUUCCGCUUGAAUACAUCAUCCAGUGCUGCAGUCCAAUUGAGUUCAUUUAACACUAUUGUUGAGCCUUCAUAAAUAUCUGUUGGUAUGUGAACUGCUGCAUGUUGGUAAGACGUUUGCCGUCGGAAAACAGGAUCUUCUUCAAAUACUGGUCUGAUUCUCUGGCUGCCAGAUUCAGUGUCAUUCUUUUCAGGAUCAUUCUGAUCAUCUUUUGCAUUGUAAUAGAUUAUAUCAUUAUUCCCAAACUCAUCCCUCC
rnacentral:lncRNA from 1 species